rnacentral:lncRNA from 1 species
UCAAGUAGCGCAAUACCUACCACAACGAUUACUUUAAACAAAUGUUGUUGUAUGUUUCAAUCUAUCAUAACGGUUACUUUAAACAACCAUUGUUGUAUGUAUUUUAAUAAAAAAAUGCAGCAGUAGAAUAACAACAACAACAAUAACAAGAACAAGAAGAACAAAAACAAGAACAACAAGAACAAUAAGAAAAAGAACAAAAAUAAAAACAACAAUAAUCAUAACAAGAAGAAGAACAACAAU